GGAUGUGAGGGUUAUCUGCCAAGACGUUUGUUAACCUACUGAUUGUCAGGUUGAUUCAGCCAAUUUGGCUGGCCGGGUGAGUGUCGCCUUUCUCCUUCGCUGCUCCAUGUGCAUCCCUCCCAAACCUGUGUGCUUUGUCAAAGAGGAUCACCUUCCCCAAUAGAUGUGAACUAUUCUUUGACGAAAGGUAUACCAGUGCUCCCCUGCUAGAACAUCCAAAUAAGUUCUCAAGGUCCGUUUGUGGGAGAAUGUAGAGUAGUCAAGCUUCCAAGUCUCCAUACAUAUCCAAUGGGCACUGCAUGUGGCAGUCAGCCUU
ensembl:misc_RNA 7SK 7SK RNA